AGAUGGACCCGCGGCGCAUUAGCUAGUUGGUGAGGUAAUGGCUCACCAAGGCAACGAUGCGUAGCCGACCUGAGAGGGUGAUCGGCCACACUGGGACUGAGACACGGCCCAGACUCCUACGGGAGGCAGCAGUAGGGAAUCUUCCGCAAUGGACGAAAGUCUGACGGAGCAACGCCGCGUGAGUGAUGAAGGUUUUCGGAUCGUAAAGCUCUGUUGUUAGGGAAGAACAAGUACCGUUCGAAUAGGGCGGUACCUUGACGGUACCUAACCAGAAAGCCACGGCUAACUACGUGCCAGCAGCCGCGGUAAUACGUAGGUGGCAAGCGUUGUCCGGAAUUAUUGGGCGUAAAGGGCUCGCAGGCGGCUUC
rnacentral:rRNA from 1 species